rnacentral:rRNA from 1 species
GACGAACGCUGGCGGCGUGCCUAAUACAUGCAAGUAGAACGCUGAAGGAGGAGCUUGCUCUUCUGGAUGAGUUGCGAACGGGUGAGUAACGCGUAGGUAACCUGCCUGGUAGCGGGGGAUAACUAUUGGAAACGAUAGCUAAUACCGCAUAAGAGUAGAUGUUGCAUGACAUUUGCUUAAAAGGUGCAAUUGCAUCACUACCAGAUGGACCUGCGUUGUAUUAGCUAGUUGGUGGGGUAACGGCUCACCAAGGCGACGAUACAUAGCCGACCUGAGAGGGUGAGCGGCCACGCGGGGACUGAGACACGGCCCAGACUCCUACGGGAGGCAGCAGUAGGGAAUCUUCGGCAAUGGACGGAAGUCUGACCGAGCAACGCCGCGUGAGUGAAGAAGGUUUUCGGAGCGUAAAGCUCUGUUGUAAGAGAAGAACGAGUGUGAGAGUGGAAAGUUCACACUGUGACGGUAUCUUACCAGAAAGGGACGGCUAACUACGUG